UCUCCCUAUGGCAACAGAGACAGACU
rnacentral:piRNA from 1 species